UACGUAGGGGGCAAGCGUUGUCCGGAAUCAUUGGGCGUAAAGAGCGUGUAGGCGGCCCGGUAAGUCCGCUGUGAAAGUCCAGGGCUCAACCCUGGGAUGCCGGUGGAUACUGUCGGGCUCGAGUCCGGAAGAGGCGAGUGGAAUUCCUGGUGUAGCGGUGAAAUGCGCAGAUAUCAGGAGGAACACCGAUGGCGAAGGCAGCUCGCUGGGACGGUACUGACGCUGAGACGCGAAAGCGUGGGGAGCAAACAGG
rnacentral:rRNA from 1 species